rnacentral:rRNA from 1 species
AGAGUUUGAUCAUGGCUCAGGAUGAACGCUAGCGGCAGGCUUAAUACAUGCAAGUCGUGGGGCAGCACAGGUAGCAAUACUGGGUGGCGACCGGCAAACGGGUGCGGAACACGUACGCAACCUUCCUUUAAGCGGGGAAUAGCCCAGGGAAACUUGGAUUAAUACCCCAUAAGAUUAUGGUGUGGCAUCACACAGUAAUUAAAGCUUCGGCACUUAAAGAUGGGCGUGCGGCUGAUUAGGUAGUUGGCGGGGUAACGGCCCACCAAGCCUACGAUCAGUAACUGGUGUGAGAGCACGACCAGUCACACGGGCACUGAGACACGGGCCCGACUCCUACGGGAGGCAGCAGUAAGGAAUAUUGGUCAAUGGACGCAAGUCUGAACCAGCCAUGCCGCGUGGAGGAUGAAGGCCCUCCGGGUUGUAAACUUCUUUUAUCUGGGAAGAAACCCAUCUUUUCUAAGGUGGUUGACGGUACCAGUUGAAUAAGCACCGGCUAACUCCGUGCCAGCAGCCGCGGUAAUACGGAGGGUGCAAGCGUUAUCCGGAUUCACUGGGUUUAAAGGGUGCGUAGGUGGGCAGGUAAGUCAGUGGUGAAAUCUCCGGGCUUAACCCGGAAACUGCCGUUGAUACUAUCUGUCUUGAAUGUAGUGGAGGUGAGCGGAAUAUGUCAUGUAGCGGUGAAAUGCUUAGAUAUGACAUAGAACACCCAUUGCGAAGGCAGCUCGCUACACUAUUAUUGACACUGAGGCACGAAAGCGUGGGGAUCAAACAGGAUUAGAUACCCUAGUAGUCC